GCCGAUGGCGCAGUGGUUGUGCGACUGCCUGUGACGCAGCAGGUGCCGAGUUCUAUUCUCAGUGGGGCA